AGUGAACGCUGGCGGUAGGCCUAACACAUGCAAGUCGAACGGCAGCACAGGAGAGCUUGCUCUCUGGGUGGCGAGUGGCGGACGGGUGAGGAAUACAUCGGAAUCUACUCUGUCGUGGGGGAUAACGUAGGGAAACUUACGCUAAUACCGCAUACGACCUACGGGUGAAAGCAGGGGACCUUCGGGCCUUGCGCGAUUGAAUGAGCCGAUGUCGGAUUAGCUAGUUGGCGGGGUAAAGGCCCACCAAGGCGACGAUCCGUAGCUGGUCUGAGAGGAUGAUCAGCCACACUGGAACUGAGACACGGUCCAGACUCCUACGGGAGGCAGCAGUGGGGAAUAUUGGACAAUGGGCGCAAGCCUGAUCCAGCUAUACCGCGUGGGUGAAGAAGGCCUUCGGGUUGUAAAGCCCUUUUGUUGGGAAAGAAAUCCAGCUGGCUAAUACCCGGUCGGGAUGACGGUACCCAAAGAAUAAGCACCGGCUAACUUCGUGCCAGCAGCCGCCGUAA
rnacentral:rRNA from 1 species